UUUCCGUAGGUGAACCUGCGGAAGGAUCAUUAAUGAGUUGUCAUGGGGUUCGAUGCUGGCAGCCAGUUUUUGGAUGCAUGUGCUUGCCCUAACAAUCAUCUUCUUCCAAACACCUGUGCACAUUUUUGAGGGAGUCUUGAAUUGGUUGCCGCUCUUGGGUGAUUUUCUCACAUUCCCUUAAAUCAUUAUACGCUAUUAACAAUGUUGAACGUGCUCUGUGCCGCAAGGCCAUUAAUAUAAUACAACUUUUAACAACGGAUCUCUUGGCUCUC
rnacentral:misc_RNA from 1 species